rnacentral:rRNA from 1 species
UGGCGUCAUGCUAUGAAAGAAGAGUUGGGGUCGAUCCAUGACAAUAAUACAUGGGAGCUUGUGGAUCUUUCCAACAAUGAAAAGGCGAUAGAGCUCAAGUGGCAAUUUAAGGUCAGGAAAGAUGUUGAAGGGUGCAUGAAGCACAAAGUGAGGUUUGUGGCCAAAGAGUAUGUGCAAGAGGAAAGUAUGGACUUCGAAGAAGUGUUCGUUCUCAUUACAAAGAUGGAGUCGGUGAGAUUACUCAUCGCUCUCGCGGCUCAGGAAUCAUGGAAGAUACAUCACAUGGAUGUAAACUCCGCGUUUUUGAACGGCGAGAUAGAAGGAGAUGUGUAUGUGAAUCAACCGCCGGGUUUCAUCAAAGAGGGAAAAGAGCACAAGGUACUGAAGUUACACAAAAUCUUGUAUGGGCUAUGGCAAGGACCUCGGGAGUGGAACAUCAAACUUGAUCGGACAUUGAUUUCUCUUGGAUUUGAGAAAGCUCCACUAGAGCAUGCAAUGUACAAGAGAGGUGAAGGAAGGGAUCGUCUACUAGUUGGCAUCUACGUCGACGACCUAUUGAUUACUGGAGCAGAUGAAGAGGUGAUUGCAAAGUUCAAGUUACAAAUGAAGGAGAUUUUCAAGAGUGAUGAUCUAGGUCUUUUGAGCUUCUACCCCAGGAUAGAGGUACAUCAAAAGACAGAGGAGAUCACACUAUGCCAGGAGGCAUACACAAGGAAGAUACUUGAAAACUGUGGCAUGAAAGAUUGCAAUCUAAUUGAAGCUUCAAUGAAACCUCGUCUUGAACUGAGCAAGAAGAGUAAAGCACCCGCAGUUGAUGCAAUAGAGUAUAUUGCAGCUGCCACUGCGAUGUGUCAAGGUGUGUGGCUAGGGAGGCUGCACGGUGAUCUCAUGGAUCGAGAUCCGGAACAA